GCGGUAGCCCGGGCAAGA
rnacentral:miRNA from 1 species